GGAAGUACAAAAAACAAGAUAUAGAGUCCUUAGCUUACAGAAGCAUCUGCUCUUGGAUUGGCUAGUGUAUCAGACAAGCAGUAUUUUGCUAAGAAGAAAGGUCCAGGGAAGUCAAGAGAUGCAUGUUUAAUUGAAAGUCACCUUAACGAGAUUAUACCAUUAAUGAAAGAAAAUAAUCUACAGACAACAAAGGGCAUUAAAAAAAAAGGCAAAUAUGCAAAUAGUGAACAUGAGGAAUGGAGACAGAAGAGCAGCAACAGAAUUUGAAGAUUUAAGGGUAGCAGUGAACAUGUCAACAAAGCAAGCCUGCAUUCAUUGGAAAUUAUCAGGGGCUACUGAUGCUGGCUGCCAUCUUUCCCAGUGUCUUGUAGCUGCUUAGCCGUAAAGAAAGAUCAUGAUAUAAAUACAAAAGUGACGAAGCCACUACAGAGCUGGAGGAUGACCCAGAGAGUUCAGUGACAUGGAAGCCAAGGCAGGAGCGUUGGCAGAAGGAAGGAGAGGUCAAUAGCAUCAGACACAGUCCCGAGUUCGUGGAAGGUAAUGGCUGAUGGAGAAGUAGUCUUUGGAUUUAAGAUAAUGAACUUGUUGGUGACC
rnacentral:lncRNA from 1 species